AUACGUAGGGGGCGAGCGUUGUCCGGAAUGACUGGGCGUAAAGGGCGUGUAGGCGGUUGUCUAAGUCAGGAGUGAAAGUCCUGCGUUCAAGGUGGGAAUAGCUUUGGAUACUGGAUGACUUGGGUGCGGAAGAGGUAAGUGGAAUUCCCAGAGUAGCGGUGAAAUUCGUAGAGAUUGGGAGGAACACCAGGGGCGAAGGCGACUUACUGGGCCGUAACUGACGCUGAGGCGCGAAAGCGUGGGGAGCGAACAGGAUUAGAUACCCUGGUAGUCCACGCGGUAAACGAUGAAUGCUAGGUGUUGCGGGUAUCGACCCCUGCAGUGCCGGAGUAAACACAAUAAGCAUUCCGCCUGGGGAGUACGGCCGCAAGGUUGAAACUCAAAUGAAUUGGCGGGG
rnacentral:rRNA from 1 species